UUGAUCAUGGCUCAGAUUGAACGCUGGCGGCAGGCCUAACACAUGCAAGUCGAACGGUAACAGGAAUCAGCUUGCUGAUUUGCUGACGAGUGGCGGACGGGUGAGUAAUGUCUGGGAAACUGCCUGAUGGAGGGGGAUAACUACUGGAAACGGUAGCUAAUACCGCAUAACGUCGCAAGACCAAAGAGGGGGACCUUCGGGCCUCUUGCCAUCGGAUGUGCCCAGAUGGGAUUAGCUAGUAGGUGGGGUAACGGCUCACCUAGGCGACGAUCCCUAGCUGGUCUGAGAGGAUGACCAGCCACACUGGAACUGAGACACGGUCCAGACUCCUACGGGAGGCAGCAGUGGGGAAUAUUGCACAAUGGGCGCAAGCCUGAUGCAGCCAUGCCGCGUGUAUGAAGAAGGCCUUCGGGUUGUAAAGUACUUUCAGCGGGGAGGAAGGGAGUAAAGUUAAUACCUUUGCUCAUUGACGUUACCCGCAGAAGAAGCACCGGCUAACUCCGUGCCAGCAGCCGCGGUAAUACGGAGGGUGCAAGCGUUAAUCGGAAUUACUGGGCGUAAAGCGCACGCAGGCGGUUUGUUAAGUCAGAUGUGAAAUCCCCGGGCUCAACCUGGGAACUGCAUCUGAUACUGGCAAGCUUGAGUCUCGUAGAGGGGGGUAGAAUUCCAGGUGUAGCGGUGAAAUGCGUAGAGAUCUGGAGGAAUACCGGUGGCGAAGGCGGCCCCCUGGACGAAGACUGACGCUCAGGUGCGAAAGCGUGGGGAGCAAACAGGAUUAGAUACCCUGGUAGUCCACGCCGUAAACGAUGUCGACUUGGAGGUUGUGCCCUUGAGGCGUGGCUUCCGGAGCUAACGCGUUAAGUCGACCGCCUGGGGAGUACGGCCGCAAGGUUAAAACUCAAAUGAAUUGACGGGGGCCCGCACAAGCGGUGGAGCAUGUGGUUUAAUUCGAUGCAACGCGAAGAACCUUACCUGGUCUUGACAUCCACGGAAGUUUUCAGAGAUGAGAAUGUGCCUUCGGGAACCGUGAGACAGGUGCUGCAUGGCUGUCGUCAGCUCGUGUUGUGAAAUGUUGGGUUAAGUCCCGCAACGAGCGCAACCCUUAUCCUUUGUUGCCAGCGGUCCGGCCGGGAACUCAAAGGAGACUGCCAGUGAUAAACUGGAGGAAGGUAGGGAUGACGUCAAGUCAUCAUGGCCCUUACGACCAGGGCUACACACGUGCUACAAUGGCGCAUACAAAGAGAAGCGACCUCGCGAGAGCAAGCGGACCUCAUAAAGUGCGUCGUAGUCCGGAUUGGAGUCUGCAACUCGACUCCAUGAAGUCGGAAUCGCUAGUAAUCGUGGAUCAGAAUGCCACGGUGAAUACGUUCCCGGGCCUUGUACACACCGCCCGUCACACCAUGGGAGUGGGUUGCAAAAGAAGUAGGUAGCUUAACCUUCGGGAGGGCGCUUACCACUUUGUGAUUCAUGACUGGGGUGAAGUCGUAACAAGGUAACCGUAGGGGAACCUGCGGUUG
rnacentral:rRNA from 1 species